CUGCCAUGACCCGUACAUGCAUUUCAGGACUGAUUAAAAGGGCCAAGAUUCACAGUUUAAAAAUCCUGCCCUAAAAGCUUUCUGUUUGUUCUGUGACUUUACUUGCUGGCCACAUAGAUAGUGACAUCAUCCAAAUUUACAUCUCCACCAGAGUGACACACUUUACUUUUGCUCAUACUUCGUUGACCAAAGCAAGCCACAUGGCCAUUCUAACUUCAAACGGACCCACUCAACUUCUCCAAGUGGGUGUCUGAAAGAUGAUGAACUGAGACCAAGAAAAGACCCACUAAAGAUCAAAAAUUGCAGAGAACAAUAUUUCAAGAGGUACGUCUUGGACAUAAACACUGGAACCAUCAGAGAAGCUUCUACAAAACACAGAUGCCUGGGACCUGUACUUAUCAACUGUCACUUUUAAUUGGCCAGGGGUGAGCCUUAAACAAGACCAGUAUUUUGUAAAAACUGCCCGACGUGAUGGUAAUUUGCAGCUAGGAUUGGAACACUCUGGUAUUACACAACAGAUCCGGAGGCUGGAAGUCUGAGGUCCAGGUGUUGGCAGGGCUGGUUUCUUCUGAGGCCUCUCUCCUUGGUGUGUAGAUGGAUGUCUUCUUUCUGUGUCUUCGCAUAACUCUCCCACCACCCCAUUCUCCUCGUAAGGACACCAGGAAUGACGGUUGCUGCUCGUGGAUCACUUGGACUUCAGCAGAAGCUGUCGGACAGAACAUUCACCUGUUCCUGCUCUAUGUGGCUGCUUGGGCUUCCUCACAGCAUGGUGGCUGGGUUUUGUGAGCAAGCAUUCCCCAAAAAACCAGGUAAACCUGAGUUGCCAUUUAUGUUCUAGUCUCAGAAUCACACAGUGUCACUACUUCAUUUCCUAGAUUCAAGGGAAGGGAACAUAGGCCCCAUAUCUUUAUAGGUGGCAUAUCAAAGAAGAGCAUGU
rnacentral:lncRNA from 10 species